GGCAAUCUGCCCUUCACUCUGGGACAAGCCCUGGAAACGGGGUCUAAUACCGGAUAACACUGCGGAUCGCAUGGUCUGCGGUUAAAAGCUCCGGCGGUGAAGGAUGAGCCCGCGGCCUAUCAGCUAGUUGGUGGGGUAAUGGCCUACCAAGGCGACGACGGGUAGCCGGCCUGAGAGGGCGACCGGCCACACUGGGACUGAGACACGGCCCAGACUCCUACGGGAGGCAGCAGUGGGGAAUAUUGCACAAUGGGCGAAAGCCUGAUGCAGCGACGCCGCGUGAGGGAUGACGGCCUUCGGGUUGUAAACCUCUUUCAGCAGGGAAGAAGCGAAAGUGACGGUACCUGCAGAAGAAGCGCCGGCUAACUACGUGCCAGCAGCCGCGGUAAUACGUAGGGCGCAAGCGUUGUCCGGAAUUAUUGGGCGUAAAGAGCUCGUAGGCGGCUUGUCGCGUCGGAUGUGAAAGCCCGGGGCUUAACCCCGGGUCUGCAUUCGAUACGGGCAGGC
rnacentral:rRNA from 1 species